rnacentral:rRNA from 1 species
GCGAGUCAUUGUAGCAAUACAAGGCAGACGGCUCAGUAACGCGUAGUCAAUCUACCCUAUGGACGGGAAUAACCUCGGGAAACUGAGAAUAAUGCCCGACAGAACAUUAUACCUGGAACGGUUUAUGUUUCAAAUGAUUUAUCGCCGUAGGAUGGGACUGCGGCCUAUCAGUUUGUUGGUGAGGUAAUGGCCCACCAAGACUAUUACAGGUACGGGCUCUGAGAGGAGUAGCCCGGAGAUGGGUACUGAGACACGGACCCAGGCCCUAUGGGGCGCAGCAGGCGAGAAAACUUUGCAAUGUGCGAAAGCACGACAAGGUUAAUCCGAGUGGUUUCUGCUAAAGAAACCUUUUGCUAGUCCUAGAAACACUAGUGAAUAAGGGGUGGGCAAGUUCUGGUGUCAGCCGCCGCGGUAAAACCAGCACCUCAAGUGGUCAGGAUGAUUAUUGGGCCUAAAGCAUCCGUAGCUCGUUUUGUAAGUUUUCGGUUAAAUCCAUACGCUUAACGUAUGGGCUGCCGGGAAUACUGCAUAACUAGGAAGUGGGAGAGGUAGACGGUACUCGGUAGGAAGGGGUAAAAUCCUUUGAUCUAUUGAUGACCACCUGUGGCGAAGGCGGUCUACCAGAACACGUUCGACGGUGAGGGAUGAAAGCUGGGGGAGCAAACCGGAUUAGAUACCCGGGUAGUCCCAGCUGUAAACUAUGCAAACUCAGUGAUGCAUUGGCUUGUGGCCAAUGCAGUGCUGCAGGGAAGCCGUUAAGUUUGCCGCCUGGGAAGUACGUACGCAAGUAUGAAACUUAAAGGAAUUGGCGGGGGAGCACCACAAAGGGUGAAGCCUGCGGU